rnacentral:sRNA from 1 species
AACCAAAAAACUCGGACACUGCAACGUUUUGUUGCAGCGUCCGAGUGACUAGCAUCGUGCAAG